UUGACCUCGGAUCAGGUAGGGAUACCCGCUGAACUUAAGCAUAUCAAUAAGUCGGAGAAA
rnacentral:rRNA from 1 species